rnacentral:rRNA from 1 species
UACGUAGGGGGCUAGCGUUGUCCGGAAUCAUUGGGCGUAAAGAGCGUGUAGGCGGCCCGGUAAGUCCGCUGUAAAAGUCAAAGGCUCAACCUUUGAAUGUCAGUGGAUACUGCCGGGCUAGAGUCCGGAAGAGGCGAGUGGAACUCCUGGUGUAGCGGUGGAAUGCGCAGAUAUCAGGAAGAACACCAACGGCGAAGGCAGCUCGCUGGACGGUACUGACGCUGAGACGCGAAAGCGUGGGGAGCGAACAGG